rnacentral:lncRNA from 1 species
GCCGCUUCCUUCAGCUUUAUUAACCUGCCGACUAAACUAAAAUUAUUAUUCCCUUCGAUUUCGAUAUGCUUAGGCUAGAUACACCAAAAACCCAAAACUUUACAAGAUUCUCCAUCACAUCGAAUCUUACGACACAUGCAUAGAAUAUUAAAUAUUGAUAAAAAAAAUAUAACUAAUUACACAGUUUAUCUGUAAAUCACGAGACGAAUCGUUUAAGCCUAGUUGC